GCCCAGGUGGCGGAAUUGGUAUACGCGCAUGGCUUAGGACCAUGUACCGAAAGGUUUGGAGGUUCGAGUCCUCUCCUGGGCA
rnacentral:tRNA from 1 species